rnacentral:rRNA from 1 species
UGCGUAGGCGGACUAAUAAGUCAGUGGUGAAAUCUUUCGGCUCAACCGAGGAACUGCCAUUGAUACUGUUAGUCUUGAGUUCGGUUGAGGUAGGCGGAAUGUGUAAUGUAGCGGUGAAAUGCUUAGAUAUUACACAGAACACCAAUUGCGUAGGCAGCUUACUAGACCGACACUGACGCUGAGGCACGAAAGCGUGGGGAGCGAACAGGAUUAGAUACCCUGGUAGUCC